GGAAUGUAGCACAGAUGGUUAGCGCGAUGGUCUGUCAAGCCAUAGGUCGCGGGUUCAAAUCCCGUCAUUCCCG
rnacentral:tRNA from 1 species